UAGGGGACAUGGCAGCAACUCCACUGGCCAGGAUUCAUGUGCCCUGCGCUGGCCUCAUCUUGUGGGGUGUGAGGGCCGCUUGGUACCUGCUGUGCGGUGUUCGGGUCUGGAUACCAAGGUGCAGUGCAGUUAACAAAAUCCAAAGGAGAAUGCUAAAUCAAAUCAAUUAUUGGUGUGACCAUCCGUUGCCUUCAAAACAGCAUCAACUUUUCUAGAUACACUUGCGUACAGUUGUUGAAGGAACUCGACAGUGAGGUUGUUUCAGUCAUUUUGGAGAACUAACCACAGAACUUCUGUGGAUGUAGGCUUGCUCAAAUCCUUCUGUCUCUUCAUAUAAUCCCAGACAGACUCGAUGAUGUUGAAAGCAGGGCUCUGUUCUUUUUUACGCUGACGAUAGUUCUUAAUGACAUUGGCUGUAUGUUUGAGGUCGUUGUCCUGCCAUGGAAUAAAUUUGGAGCCAAUCCAAUGCCUCCCUGAUGGUACUGCA